UACGUAGGGUCCGAGCGUUGUCCGGAAUUACUGGGCGUAAAGAGCUCGUAGGUGGUUUGUCGCGUUGUUCGUGAAAACUCACAGCUUAACUGUGGGCGUGCGGGCGAUACGGGCAGACUUGAGUACUGCAGGGGAGACUGGAAUUCCUGGUGUAGCGGUGGAAUGCGCAGUUAUCAGGAGGAACACCGGUGGCGAAGGCGGGUCUCUGGGCAGUAACUGACGCUGAGGAGCGAAAGCGUGGGGAGCGAACAGG
rnacentral:rRNA from 1 species